UACGUAGGGAGCUAGCGUUGUCCGGAUUUAUUGGGCGUAAAGAGCGUGUAGGCGGCCAGGUAGGUCUGCUGUGAAAACUCGAGGCUCAACCUCGAGACGUCGGCGGAAACCAUCUGGCUAGAGUCCGGAAGAGGAGAGUGGAAUUCCUGGUGUAGCGGUGAAAUGCGCAGAUAUCAAGAAGAACACCCGUGGCGAAGGCGGCUCUCUGGGACGGUACUGACGCUGAGACGCGAAAGCGUGGGGAGCGAACAGG
rnacentral:rRNA from 1 species